CGGGGAUAACAGGCUGAUACCGCCCAAGAGUUCAUAUCGACGGCGGUUGUUGGCACCUCGAUGUCGGCUCAUCACAUCCUGUGGCUGGAAUUGGUACCAAGGGUCUGGCUGUUCGCCAUUUGAAAUGGUCCGCGAGCUGGGUUUAGAACGUCGCGAGACAGUUCGGUCCCUAUCUUCCGUGGGCGUUGGAAGAUUGAAGGGGGCUGCUCCUAGUACGAGAGGACCGGAGUGGACGAACCCCUGGUGUUCGGGUUGAGUCGCCAGACGCAUUGCCCGGUAGCUCGGUUCGGAAUCGAGAGCCAGUGAAAGCAUCUACACCGAAAACGAGGUCUGAGAUAAGUCAGCGAUGUUACUUUAAGUGUCAUAAAGGUUUCACGCAGACUACGUCGU
rnacentral:rRNA from 1 species